GACGAACGCUGGCGGCGUGCUUAACACAUGCAAGUCGAACGGAAAGGCCCUGCUUUUGUGGGGUGCUCGAGUGGCGAACGGGUGAGUAACACGUGAGUAACCUGCCCUUGACUUUGGGAUAACUUCAGGAAACUGGGGCUAAUACCGGAUAGGAGCUCCUGCUGCAUGGUGGGGGUUGGAAAGUUUCGGCGGUUGGGGAUGGACUCGCGGCUUAUCAGCUUGUUGGUGGGGUAGUGGCUUACCAAGGCUUUGACGGGUAGCCGGCCUGAGAGGGUGACCGGCCACAUUGGGACUGAGAUACGGCCCAGACUCCUACGGGAGGCAGCAGUGGGGAAUAUUGCACAAUGGGCGGAAGCCUGAUGCAGCAACGCCGGGUGCGGGAUGACGGCCUUCGGGGUGGAAACCGCUUUCGCCUGUGACGAAGCGUGAGUGACGGUAAUGGGUAAAGAAGCACCGGCUAACUACGUG
rnacentral:rRNA from 1 species